UACGAAGGGGGCUAGCGUUGCUCGGAAUCACUGGGCGUAAAGGGUGCGUAGGCGGGUCUUUUAAGUCAGGGGUGAAAUCCUGGAGCUCAACUCCAGAACUGCCUUUGAUACUGAAGAUCUUGAGUCCGGGAGAGGUGAGUGGAACUGCGAGUGUAGAGGUGAAAUUCGUAGAUAUUCGCAAGAACACCAGUGGCGAAGGCGGCUCACUGGCCCGAUACUGACGCUGAGACGCGAAAGCGUGGGGAGCGAACAGG
rnacentral:rRNA from 1 species